CCUACGGGGGGCUGCAGUGGGGAAUAUUGGACAAUGGGGGGAACCCUGAUCCAGCCAUGCCGCGUGUGUGAAGAAGGCCCUCGGGUUGUAAAGCACUUUCAGUGAGGAAGAACGCCUGGUGGUUAAUACCCAUCAGGAAAGACAUCACUCACAGAAGAAGCACCGGCUAACUCCGUGCCAGCAGUCGCGGUAAUACGGAGGGUGCGAGCGUUAAUCGGAAUUACUGGGCGUAAAGCGCGCGUAGGUGGCUUGAUAAGCCGGUUGUGAAAGCCCCGGGCUCAACCUGGGAACGGCAUCCGGAACUGUCAAGCUAGAGUGCAGGAGAGGAAGGUAGAAUUCCCGGUGUAGCGGUGAAAUGCGUAGAGAUCGGGAGGAAUACCAGUGGCGAAGGCGGCCUUCUGGACUGACACUGACACUGAGGUGCGAAAGCGUGGGUAGCAAACAGGAUUAGAUACCCCAGUAGUC
rnacentral:rRNA from 1 species